AUGACGUCUUGUUUGAGGCACCUGAGAGCGAACUGAGUAGAACCAGACCUGAGUUCAGUUUGUGGAGGAGAGAGACAGUCCAGGUGUUUGUAAUCAGGCAGGUGUGACAGGUGACUCAUCAAACAGUUCAGUGUCAGUGAAUGAGAGUGUUCUGAGCCCCAGUGAGACGUGAUGCUGUCUGUGGUUUGUCUCCUGUCAGUGUGUCUGUUUACCUGUCGCACAGGUGAGAAACUCUUGAAACUGAUUCGCUCUUUGGCUGUUUGUUCGUGUCAAACUGUGUUUUGUGUUUGUGCAGCUGAAUCCAGUCAGAAACCAUCAAACACAUCAGCUGACAACAACACGGCUGCUGCUCCGCUGCAGCUCCAGGCUCCAGAUUCAAAGGUGAAUCAGAUCCAGAAUCAGCCGAAUGUGACUUCAAAUGAAACUCUGCAGGAACACGAUGGUUCGUCUGGACGCUUUGGAUCCAGCGACCUGUCGGGGGUGCGGUCCUUCAUUCCAGAGCAGGAAAUGGAGUCCAGGAUCAUCGGGGGUCAGGAGGCCUGGGCCCACUCGUGGCCCUGGCAGGUGUCUCUACAAUUUGCCUCCAUGCCGGCCUGCGGAGGGGCCGUCAUCAACCCGCUGUGGGUCAUCUCUGCUGCGCACUGCUUCAAAAGGUACAAUAAAGCUUCUUUCUGGACGGUUCUGGCUGGAAAACACGACCUGGAUAAUCCUCAUGAACCUGGACAACAAGUGGUUGGCGUCUCCGUGAUCAUCAGUCACCACGGCUACAACACGCGGACCAAAGCGGGCGACAUGGCUUUGCUGAAGCUGCAGCAGCCUCUGGUCUUCGGCCGAUUCGUCAGACCCAUCGACGUCUGGAUGACCCCGCUGCCUCCCUUCAGGAACUGCACCAUCACCGGCUGGGGCUCCACACGAGAGAAUGGUCCUCGAGUCCACAGACUCCAAGAAGUGAAUGUGACCAUCCUGCCCCCUGGUGUCUGUAACCAGUACUACCACGGAAGGAUCCGACCCUCCAUGUUCUGUGCUGGGAAGGACGGAGGAGGGGUCGACGCCUGCCAGGGGGACUCUGGAGGUCCUCUGUCCUGCUUCACUGGCAGCAGGUAUAAGCUGGCAGGUUUGGUAAGUUGGGGAGUCGGUUGUGGACGAGCCAGAAGACCGGGAGUCUACACCAAAGUCCAGCAACACACUCAGUGGAUCUCUAACAUCAUGAGUAAGUUUCACAGAUCGUCCACCUACCUGUUACAGGUGUGUUCUACUCUGAAGAGCUCCUGGUCUGUUUCAUUCACAGGUGAUCAGAGUAUCGUGUCUGCAGAUGACGUCACCGCUGAGGAGGACAGGUGUGGUAAGCAGCAGAGCUCCGGCUGUGAGAGAGCUCCAGGCCUCGCUCAUCUGUCAGUGUCCCGGGAUAAUGAGGUGUCUGUGGGGAACGUGACAGAGUCCUGCCCCUUCUUCUGGCCCUGGCAGGUCAGCCUGCAGUCCAACGGACGCCACUACUGCAGCGGGUCGCUCAUUCACCGCCGCUGGGUCGUCACGGCUCAACACUGCAGCGUCAGAGCUAAAGAGGACGUGGUCGUUCUGGGAGUUCAUGACCUCCGCUUCUCAUCAGCUCAAACCGUCCCGGUGGAUGAGGUCUUCAACCUGCCGCAGGACGGCAACUUCCCCCCCAAGUCUGACCUGACGCUGCUGCGCCUCAGCGUGCCGGCCAGAUUCAGCUCUAAUGUGGCUCCAGUUUGUGUCCCCGAUGAGGAAGAGGAGCUCGAUGACAGCUGGUCUUGCGUCACAACCGGCUGGGGAGCGACAAAAGCAACAGUGGACCUAGAUCCAGACCGGCUGCACCACGUCGGACUGACUCUGGUGAAUCAGACAACCUGCAGGGACAAGUGGGGAGGAGGACUCAUCAGUGAAUCCCACAUCUGUUCACAUCCUGCAGGUUCCCCCUCCUGCAUGGGCGACUCUGGAGCGCCGCUGCUGUGUCGGAAGCGGGGGGCCUACUUCCUGUUUGGUGUGGUCACGUGGGGCAGCGGGCGGUGUGAUGGAGACAAACCGGCCAUCUUCUCGAGGAUAUCGGAUUAUGAGUCGUGGAUCACUGAGGUGACAGAAGACGUCUGAAUGUCUCCGUCACAAAAUAAACUCAAUUAACUGGAAGCUGUUGGUCUGCAGAGCUGUUUGAACUGCGGGGGGGGGGCUGUUGGCUUGAUGUAAGGAUGGAACUCAGGUGUGAAAAGGAAAGUGAGCCUUGAGUUCAGAGCGUUUGGGUGAAAUGUGACCGUGUUUAAUGGCUUUGUUUCUGGCUGUUUGGGCGGGGGGGUUUGCCAAAAACAGCCCGUAUAACUCAUCCUACAGACACAACCACUCAACACACUCCAGUUAUCAGCGUCUGAAGUUUGAUUCAACAUGAAACGUCCUCUUCAGCUUCUCUUCUUCACUUUUGAUGAGAAAAACACGAGAAACAUCUUCAGCAGUUUGUUGUUUUAAUCAACAUUUAAGAACAACAGUUAAAACUUCUAAAAUGCUUGUUUGAAUGGGGGGGGGGGGGGAUGAGUCUCCAGUCUGUCCUUUCAUGUCUCCACACUGAAACGUCAGUUUGUAGUUCCAGACUUCGUUGGUGGAUUGAAAACACGUCGGCUUUUACAGAAGAUCUUGAGAUGUCAGAUUUUAGAGGUCGACCUGAAAGCAUCGUUGGUGUCGGCUUUGAGUGGGGGCGGGCGGUUCAGGACUGACGAUGAUCCUCUAUCACCCUCCUGGUUCAGUUCUCGGAAAGACGAAGCAGAGACGGCUGCUGUCUUUGAUCGGUCUGAGGCUUCGAGAUAUGAAACCAGCAGUUUCUCUCUCAGCUGUCCUGCAGCAGGUCGUAGGACCCUCCGGUCACCACCUCGUGUUUGUCCUCCGCCUGAGGACACAGAAAGUCUCCGGUCAACGCUACUGUACUGCUUUCAAAGUGAUGUCUCAUAUUAAAAACUUGAAGUGGUCUAAAGUUGUAAAGACAUGAAUUCAGACUAAAACAGAAGCUGUGAAGCAACAUUUUGAUCUAAACUGUGAACUGAGCUGAUCGCCGGUCUGUCGCACUGACAUCAGGACUCACUGAGCCGUCACAUGUGUUGGACUCAGCAGGUUCUGGACCUGCUUCAUAAACCGGGUUACAGAUGCUGCGACCGCCGCCUGCAGGCGGAGCCUCUUCCUCUCCGUCAUCCUCCUGUCAAAGUGAAGGCGAAGGUCGACACUAAUGUUACCACACAGUACAAGAAACAUCAUAAUACAUCAUUCACAGUACGCAGUACUGUCCUGUCAUGGGUUGAGAUACACGUUUUGUUUUAUACUCACAAUAUGAACAAUGUACUAACAGCAAUAAAGCUGUGGAACACUACCACCACCUACAGGUAUCAGGAAGCAGCUCACUGAAUAUUUUCACAAUAAGAGCUAAAAAAUGUGUGUAGUCAAAGUACAGGAAUAUGAGCCAAACAUCCAUCAGGGCCCAGCAGGAAAGUUCCAGGAGGAAAAAGUUAAUCGUCCGGGGAUCAGUUCAACCUGAGCUCUCAUCACAACUUCACUCUGUAGAAAAUCUGAACUUUGUGCAUGAGAUGAAACUGAAACUAAAAAUCACCAGAGGCAGCACACUGACCUUGAAGUAGUGGAACUGGAAGGGUUUAGUGUUGUGGGAGUAGAAGUGGUAUCCAACAAAGAUGAUUCCUGCCACCAGAACAAUCAGCAGCACCACUCCAACUCCAGCCCCUGCCUUAUGUGCCACAUGCAUCUGUGCAACCAAUCACAGACAAGGUCAGAGGUCACAUGGACAAACUUGUAAAUACUAUUAGUGAUAGCAUGUGUGGAAUUAUCACUCACCUGUUGGCGAGGAGGCGGGGCUUUCAGCGGUCCCUGGAGAACAUGUAUGAUCCCGUUUGAAGCCAGGAUGUCCGAGUCAGUGACGAAGCGGUUGUUGAUGUAACGAGACGACUGAAGACAUGAAAAAGAUUUCAACAUGUGAGAACCAUGAACUACAGAAGGACCUGAACUCCACAGAACCCCGUCUGUUUUCUCAGUGGAGACUCGCUGCUGCUUUAAGAGCAGAUUCAGGCUAAACUGAAUAAUGUCGUAGGCCAGUCUGCUUUGAUUGACAGGAGUCUCAGCCAAUCACAGUCUGCUGUCGUGUUUCAAACGUUUUGCUCAAAUCAGUAUUUUCUGGCUUCAAUAACUGACACUUUGUAUGACGUCGAGCACUGAACACAAAGCAGGUGAUCACAAUGUGCAACGAGCUGCUCGAGCUCUUCAUUCAUGAAACGUUUGCCUGUGAUGUGCUGACAUACACACUGCAGGUAAAGAGAGAGCACAUGCAUCAGACUUGUACCAGUAAUAUCUGACCACAUAUUAAACUGUAUCUGCAGUCGUGAGUGUGAAAAACUGUCAAGUCCUGAAGAUGAAUUGUUUUUGAUCCGAUAUUUGUAAUUCCUGACCGAAAUGACGAGACAGCGUCAGUAAUAAAUCUGACCAGAGCCGACGGGUCGAGCAGGUCAGCGACUCCGAGGACGGUCAGGCUGCCGACGCGAGUUCGGAUCCUGCUGCCGUUCUUCAGCUGGCUGACGGGAAGAGCCUGACCCUCCGACAGGUGGAACUCCAUGUCCCGCUGAGACAGUGUCUGCAGGGACACACGGACAAGUACGUCCAGUGAAUGUGCUUCACACCAUCGUUCCUCCUCUUCCUCUCUCACCCUUCAUCCGGAAGCAGAAAGUGUCCCAGGUCUCGCUCAGGUUUUUACGGGUGCCGUAGUCCACGAUACCCACGUGUCCAAAGCCACACUGGGGACUGGAAUAGGUGGUAGGGUACGCCACCCGGGCCUGGUCUAUCCAGCCAGCAGCACACAUGUUCAGCCCGCCCUACAGAGACCAGCAGGACCAGCAGACACAAGCCUGAGUCCAGAAACCAGCGCAUUGAUGGGGACUAUUUUCAGCAGCAGAUGAAUCCACAUUUGGUGCUGCAGUGAGUGUGUGUGGCAGCAGGAUGGUGUGUGUGUGUGUGUGUGUGAGAAUAAACUCUGGAGGAGGAG